GUAGGGAAUAUUGGACAAUGGGGGCAACCCUGAUCCAGCGACGCCGCGUGAGUGAUGAAGGCCUUCGGGUCGUAAAGCUCUGUUGCAGGGGAAGAACACAAUGACGGUACCCUGCUAGAAAGGAUCGGCUAACUUCGUGCCAGCAGCCGCGGUAAGACGAGGGAUCCUAGCGUUGUUCGGAAUUAUUGGGCGUAAAGCGGGUGCAGGUGGCUUGGUAAGUCAGAUGUGAAAGCCUGGGGCUUAACCCCAGAAGUGCAUUUGAUACUGCUGAGCUUGAGUGCUGGAGAGGCUAUUAGAAUUCCGGGGGUAGUGGUGAAAUACGUAGAUAUCAGGAGGAAUACCGGAGGCGAAGGCGGAUAGCUGGCCAGACACUGACACUCAGACCCGAAAGCGUGGGGAUCAAACAGGAUUAGAUACCCUAGUAGUCC
rnacentral:rRNA from 1 species